CAGAGAUAUAAAUGGAGUCAUCGAGUCAUCACAAAUUGGUGACUUUUAUCACCAUGUGACUUAAAGAGAAUACCCGGGGAGUGUUGAUAGCAAAGAGGACCAAGGAUUGAGGCUUGGGUCUCUCCAUUGCUUAGCAGUAGGGAAGAAAUAGGAGGAACCAUCAGAAGCGACGGAGAAUGACUGGGCAUUGCGGAGAUUCUUGAACUUUUGCUACUCCUGUUAUUUAGAAUGAGAGUAUUGGAUUCCUAGGAGUAGGAGAGAAACCCAUAACAAGGCUGGUCCCAUAGUUUUGACCUGAAAGAUGAGAACAAAAAUCCCAGCCAAUGAAGGAACAUAGAUACAGAAGGAAGGAAACUGCCUGUGGCAGACACAGAGGUGCACUGCGGAGCCCCUUGAGGGAAGGACUCACCCACCACCCAGCUGUCAACAGACAACUUCCUGCGUCAGGGUCUUCCCCAGCUGCAGAGACCCACAUCACCCAAGGUCAUGCCCUGCCUGAGCAUCUGUUGACAAAGGCCUGGCCAUUUCAACUUGACACAGGACAACCUGGACAGGCCAUCCUCACUCAAGAACUUACAUCAGGUCAUGUGGCUCAAUUGGUUGAAGUGUCGCCCCAUGUACCAGAAGGUCACAGGUUUGAUUACUGAAAGGUUUCUAAGAGAAGUGAACUGGUUGAAGAUAAAGAGGUGACUUGAUUGAUGGACCAAGGGAACUGGUUCUUGGUUCUAGUUUCAGACCCCACUCCUAUUUCCUCCUGAGACGGGCUCGGACUCCCUCUCCUGAUUCAACUAGCUCCUUCUCCUCAGGAAUGGACUUACUCUAGUCUUCCUUGUACAUACUCAACUGUACCUCCCUGAAAUAUGACAAUGACAUGCCCCGAAUGUCAAGAACCACAACUGCAUGAGUACUGAUGACCUGUUUCCUUCCUAAAGUAUUAACCUACGAAGAACUGAUAUAACUUUCCAGUGACUAGAAUACUUCUAUCAUCCAGGGCAUCCAUUUUCUGCAUCAAGGUGCCUUGGAAGCUCACCUAUUAAUUGGACUUAUCAAUUGGGAAGUUGCUUGUUCAAAAUGGAUUCAUAACAAAGAGAAGUCUUUUGAGAGUUAUUUAAUUCAAGCUCCAGUGAAACCUGAAUAGUAAGCCCUUUCUAGUGACUGGAGUGCUCAAACCCUACAUAGUGCUUGCCAAACUCUUGUUCUCUGACAAAAACUUUUUGGCCUCUAAGCAGACAAUUUUUUUCAUCUUUGUUAGUUACAAUCAUGUUUUAGUGAAGUCCACCAGAAACUGCACCCUCAUCUUCCUCUACCAGAAGUACAUGUAAAAUCCCCUGGAUAGAUAAUUUUAGUAAUUAUGCAUGGUUUGGAUAGUUUUAACUUGGUGUAAUUUAAUUUCCAAAUUACUGGAGGUGGUCUCCCUUUAUUCCUUUAUUGAGUACAAGUCUUCUUUUAUCCCUGUUUGGUUUUACAUAUUGUGUCUGUUCAGUAAUUUAACUGAAAUAUUCAAGUGGAGUCACGUUUUAUUUUAAAGUACAAUAGUGGAGCUCAGCUGGUGUGGCUCACCAGUUUGAUUCCCCAUCAGGGCACAUGCCCAGGUUUGGGCCUGAUGC